rnacentral:rRNA from 1 species
UACGUAGGGUGCGAGCGUUAAUCGGAAUUACUGGGCGUAAAGCGUGCGCAGGCGGUCUGUUAAGACCGAUGUGAAAUCCCCGGGCUUAACCUGGGAACUGCAUUGGUGACUGGCAGGCUUUGAGUGUGGCAGAGGGGGGUAGAAUUCCACGUGUAGCAGUGAAAUGCGUAGAGAUGUGGAGGAGUACCGAUGGCGAAGGCAGCCCCCUGGGCCAACACUGACGCUCAUGCACGAAAGCGUGGGGAGCAAACAGG